UUUACGCCGCUUUUAGCAAUAUUCCAGCAAUAUCACAGCGGGGGACACCAGAAAUAGGCUUCACACAUUGUGCCCAUGUGGGGAAUCGAACCCAGGUCUUCAGCG